UACGGAGGAUGCGAGCGUUAUCCGGAUUUAUUAGGUUUAAAGGGUGUGUAGGCGGGAAACUAAGUCAGUGGUGAAAUCCCCCAGCUUAACUGGGGAACUGCCAUAGAUACUGGUUUUCUUGAGUACAGUUGAAGUAGGCGGAAUGUGUAAUGUAGCGGUGAAAUGCAUAGAUAUUACACAGAACACCGAUUGCGAAGGCAGCUUGCUAAGCUGAUACUGACGCUGAUGCACGAAAGCGUGGGGAGCGAACAGG
rnacentral:rRNA from 1 species